GACGAACGCUGGCGGCGUGCUUAACACAUGCAAGUCGAACGGAAAGGCCCCUUUGGGGGUAUCUGUGUGGCGUACGGGCGAGUAACACGUUAGUACCCUGUCCUCGUCUUCGGGAUAACUUCAGGAAACUGGGGCACAUACCCGAUUAGAAUCUUUGCUGUAUGCUGGGGGUUGGAAAGCUUCGGCGGUUUUGGUUGGCCUCGCGGCUUAUAAGCUUGUUGGUGGGGUAGUGGGUUACCAAGGGUUUGAGUGGUAGGCGGCCUCAGAGGGCGAACGGCCACAAUGGGACUGAGAGACGGCGCAGACGCCUACGGGAGGCAACAGUGGAGAGUAUUGCAGAAUGAGCGGGAGCCAGAGGCGGCGACGCCGCGGGCGUGAUGACGGGCUUCGGGUUGUGAACCGCUUUCAGCAGGGGAGAAGCAAGUGGUGACGGUACCUGCAGAAGAAGCACCGGCUAACUACGUG
rnacentral:rRNA from 1 species